GACGAACCGUGCGAACGUUGUUCGGAAUCACUGGGCUUAAAGGGCGCGUAGGCGGGCUUUCAAGUUUGGGGUGAAAUCCUCCGGCUCAACCGGAGAACUGCCUCGAAUACUGAAGGUCUCGAGGGGGAUAGGGGCAUGCGGAACUACGGGUGGAGCGGUGAAAUGCGUUGAUAUCCGUAGGAACUCCGGUGGCGAAGGCGGCGUGCUGGAUCCCUUCUGACGCUGAGGCGCGAAAGCCAGGGGAGCAAACGGG
rnacentral:rRNA from 1 species